UAAUAAUUUGUUCCAAUUUGUCCCUUUGAGU
rnacentral:piRNA from 1 species